UACAGAGGGUGCGAACGUUGCUCGGAAUUACUGGGCGUAAAGCGCGUGUAGACGGAUUGCUAAGUCGGGCGUGAAAUCCCCAGGCUCAACCUGGGAACUGCGCUCGAAACUGGCAGUCUCGAGUAUCGGAGAGGGUGGCGGAAUUCCUGAUGUAGAGGUGAAAUUCGUAGAUAUCAGGAGGAACACCGGUGGCGAAGACGGCCACCUGGACGAUUACUGACGCUGAGACGCGAAAGCGUGGGGAGCAAACAGG
rnacentral:rRNA from 1 species